AUGUUGACUUAAUGCUUGGGACAUUUAUACAAUUUCAUGCGACUAUAAAAAGGCCAUUUAAGCCUGUAGUUGGUAUAAGUGAAUUAUUCGCUCACAGAACAUGAGGGUCGCACUUCUACUGAUUGUACUUGUAGCUCUAAGCCUCGCAACAGGCGAGAUGCAAAACCAAGGAAAAUAUGUUGAAAGCCGGUUAAGGAGGGCUAUUAUUGGUGCAGUGUCCAGUGUGGAGAUAAAGCCAAAAGAAGAUAACCGUCCUUGACCCUCCAGCGGCUGACAUAAGUAAACACGUUGCGUCGCCUAGCUACGGGGAUGACAGCGUGUUUAUUUCGGACAAAUCCAUAAAUUCAGUUGAUGAAUGAAUAUUUUGAAAUUCCGGAUGACAGCAUAGAUGGACUCAUGAGGCCGAAUUUAUCUGCAAAACAGCUGCAACAAAUUUAAGGACAAAAUUUCAUUAAUUGUAUAGUAGUGACGAUUUUCAGGAACUUAAACCUGUUAAAAUGCAGACAUUGAAGCUACCCAAUGAAACACAAUUUAUUAAAUUUUAUCAUUUUAUAACUUUGUACGGAAUAUUAUUCAUUUGCUAAAGUUAUGUUUUUGUCGCCUUUGAAAUAAAGAUGUUCGGCGAGUAAUGACUGCCGAAAACAGAAAGUCUUAGCAGACAUGUUCCGGUGGGAUGUAUCGUCGAUAUUAUCUUUAUUUUUGUAAAAUAUUGUUUUCGAAAAUUGCUUAUAUUUAUACAAUGUAUAUGCUAAAUAUAUAUAUUCUGAAAAUCA